CUGCGGCAGCGACGCUGAUGCGUUGUUGGGUAGGGGAGCGUUCUGUAAGCCUGUGAAGGUGGCCUGUGAGGGUUGCUGGAGGUAUCAGAAGUGCGAAUGCUGACAUAAGUAACGAUAAAGCGGGUGAAAAGCCCGCUCGCCGGAAGACCAAGGGUUCCUGUCCAACGUUAAUCGGGGCAGGGUGAGUCGACCCCUAAGGCGAGGCCGAAAGGCGUAGUCGAUGGGAAACGGGUUAAUAUUCCCGUACUUGGUGUUACUGCGAAGGGGGGACGGAGAAGGCUAUGUUGGCCGGGCGACGGUUGUCCCGGUUUAAGCGUGUAGGUGUGUGUUCCAGGUAAAUCCGGUUCACUUUAACACUGAGGCGUGAUGACGAGGCACUACGGUGCUGAAGCAACAAAUGCCCUGCUUCCAGGAAAAGCCUCUAAGCAUCAGGUAACAUCAAAUCGUACCCCAAACCGACACAGGUGGUCAGGUAGAGAAUACCAAGGCGCUUGAGAGAACUCGGGUGAAGGAACUAGGCAAAAUGGUGCCGUAACUUCGGGAGAAGGCACGCUGACACGUAGGUGAAGUGAUUUACUCAUGGAGCUGAAGUCAGUCGAAGAUACCAGCUGGCUGCAACUGUUUAUUAAAAACACAGCACUGUGCAAACACGAAAGUGGACGUAUACGGUGUGACGCCUGCCCGGUGCCGGAAGGUUAAUUGAUGGGGUCAGCGCAAGCGAAGCUCCUGAUCGAAGCCCCGGUAAACGGCGGCCGUAACUAUAACGGUCCUAAGGUAGCGAAAUUCCUUGUCGGGUAAGUUCCGACCUGCACGAAUGGCGUAAUGAUGGCCAGGCUGUCUCCACCCGAGACUCAGUGAAAUUGAACUCGCUGUGAAGAUGCAGUGUACCCGCGGCAAGACGGAAAGACCCCGUGAACCUUUACUAUAGCUUGACACUGAACAUUGAGCCUUGAUGUGUAGGAUAGGUGGGAGGCUUUGAAGUGUGGACGCCAGUCUGCAUGGAGCCGGCCUUGAAAUACCACCCUUUAAUGUUUGAUGUUCUAACGUGGACCCGUGAUCCGGGUUGCGGACAGUGUCUGGUGGGUAGUUUGACUGGGGCGGUCUCCUCCUAAAGAGUAACGGAGGAGCACGAAGGUUGGCUAAUCCUGGUCGGACAUCAGGAGGUUAGUGCAAUGGCAUAAGCCAGCUUGACUGCGAGCGUGACGGCGCGAGCAGGUGCGAAAGCAGGUCAUAGUGAUCCGGUGGUUCUGAAUGGAAGGGCCAUCGCUCAACGGAUAAAAGGUACUCCGGGGAUAACAGGCUGAUACCGCCCAAGAGUUCAUAUCGACGGCGGUGUUUGGCACCUCGAUGUCGGCUCAUCACAUCCUGGGGCUGAAGUAGGUCCCAAGGGUAUGGCUGUUCGCCAUUUAAAGUGGUACGCGAGCUGGGUUUAGAACGUCGUGAGACAGUUCGGUCCCUAUCUGCCGUGGGCGCUGGAGAACUGAGGGGGGCUGCUCCUAGUACGAGAGGACCGGAGUGGACGCAUCACUGGUGUUCGGGUUGUCAUGCCAAUGGCACUGCCCGGUAGCUAAAUGCGGAAGAGAUAAGUGCUGAAAGCAUCUAAGCACGAAACUUGCCCCGAGAU
rnacentral:rRNA from 1 species